ACGGCCGCGGUAUUUUGACCGUGCGAAGGUAGCGCAAUCACUUGUCUUUUAAAUGAAGACCUGUAUGAAUGGCACCACGAGGGCUUGACUGUCUCCCUCUCCCAGUCAAUGAAAUUGAUCUCCCCGUGCAGAAGCGGGGAUAAAGACAUAAGACGAGAAGACCCUAUGGAGCUUGAGACGCCAGGACAGCCCACGUUAAACACCCCAAAAUAAAGGAAAAAACCAAGUGGAUCCUGUUCUAGUGUCUUUGGUUGGGGCGACCGCGGGGAAAAACUUAACCCCCAUGUGGAAUAAGAGUACUAUACUCUUAAAUCCGAGAGCUCCCGCUCUAAUAAACAGAACUUCUGACCAACAAGAUCCGGCAAUGCCGAUCAACGGACCGAGUUACCCUAGGGAUAACAGCGCAAUCCUCUUAAAGAGCCCUUAUCGACAAGGGGGUUUACGACCUCGAUGUUGGAUCAGGACAUCCUAAUGGUGC
rnacentral:rRNA from 1 species